CGGAGGAUGCAAGCGUUAUCCGGAUUCAUUGGGUUUAAAGGGUGCGUAGGCGGACUAUUAAGUCAGUGGUGAAAGCCUGCAGCUUAACUUCAGAACUGCCAUUGAUACUGAUAGUCUUGAGUUUGGUUAAGGUAGGCGGAAUGUGUAAUGUAGCGGUGAAAUGCUUAGAUAUUACACAGAACACCAAUUGCGUAGGCAGCUUACUGAGCCGACACUGACGCUGAGGCACGAAAGCGUGGGGAUCGAACAGGA
rnacentral:rRNA from 1 species